CACACGAAUAUAGUAAUGAUUAUCCCACAUGUGUAGUUCAAACAUUCCAAAGCAUAUUUUGAAGUAGAGAAGUAAAGAGAUGAUAGACAUACUCUGGCAACUCCAGAACUGGCUGCAAAAUUGGAAGAGAACAAACCAAAUAGUGAAAAUACAAUUUUACGUUGUUUCGUAAACCUUUAAAUCAAUUUGUAAGGACUUUAUUGCCUAGACAGCAAAAUGAUUAUCUUCAAUAGGAAUAAAACAUUUCAUUAGUUGUCAAACUGUAAUUAUUAUGGACAUAUAGGUACAUUAGCAACCAACCAUUCCAAUAAAUGCUAUUUCUAUCAAAUUUAGUUUUAAAAUAUCAGUACUGGAAAAUAAGAUUGUGGGAAUUGUAAUAAUACAAUACAAAUACAAUAUCCUUUACAAAUCAUUACAAACAAUCGGAGAAAAAUUUUACUCGGCAGCAAAGAAGAUUGACUACUAGGUGAAUUCCUAGUCUCGGUACGCUCUGCUAUAAACUAUCAGCCGCGGCAGUCAACUACUUUGCUUCCUAAACAAUUAACUAUAGUUUAUAGAAUGAGCAAAUAUCCGACGCAGGAGUAGUUCAAAUGCUCUUCGAGCAACACUUUCGCUUCUUCAUAAAGAUGAAGGUACGUCAAAGUUACUUACUUCUUAAAAGUACAAACUGGUCGACAGUUAUUCUACUCUCCUCUUUUUAUUUUAACAUAUUGACAUCUUCACAUUCGAGGCGUGUUUGAACCCCCGAAACCCACCCAUGGCUACGCCCGUGGUGGUAGGUGAAUAUUUAAAAAAAUAACACUCUCCAUCGAUUACCAAGUAUGAAGAUUAAUAUCUAAGUAUUCAAUAUUACACGGAAGUGUUUCAAUAUUUUUUGGUUUUUAGAUUUAUAAUAAGAAUGAAGUAGGCAUUCCUGCUAUCUUUUGCGGUAACUUACAGAUCGAUAAAGUGAGACCUGGAGUCUCGAGGGGAAGUUAGUUUAGUGUCAGUGUCUGCCCAACUCUAGGAGUGAAGCAUUGACAAUAACGCAGCUGAUUCGGGUCGCUUUGAUGCUAUUAACCCAGUUCUUCCUGUUUAGUCACAAGUGUUAAAAUGGCUGGUUUACUAGAUAUUUUCAAAGAAAUUCAGUGGCCUUAUUAUGUAAUAGGAUUGAUAGUAUAUUUUGUAGCUAGAACUUCUUUUGUGGUUUACAGGGAAAAGAAGAGACGAGAAGCUAUACGUAAUCAAGCUGCAGGAUCACAGCAGAAAGAUGAGACUGGAAAGAACAUAGGAGAAAAGAAAACCGAUUGAUUAUAGACUUAUACUGAACUGAAGCACAUCAAGACUGCAACAUUCAGUGCUUUUGUUUACUGCAAUGUGACUUCUAGUCUAUGAUAUUUUUAAUAUGUUCUCUCUGAUUUGAAUAAAGCCUUUUUAUGAUAAA